UUGCCUGAUCAUCUGGAAACUGCAGGAUACAGCUGGGCCAGGACUUCCCUUCCCUUCCCAGUCAUGUGCCCAGUGUUCUUGCUUUGGACACUGCAUUACAGUCAGCUAACACAAGAGGGAGCUAUAGCAACGGUCUCCCUAGGAUUAAGGCUCUAUGUCUAUUUUCUUGGAGAUAUCUAGAAGUACUUGGUUUGUAAGUACUUCAUCCGGCCAUGUGGUCCAUGUGCAGGUUGAUGAGGUUGAGGGACUGAUAAUUAACAAAAUGGAGAGGAGCAGAGCUUGUGGUGUAGCCAAGAGUGCCUGACACCCAAGGGCUCCAUCCCACCCAGCACUGAAUGUGUGUGGGGAUUGAGGGUAGGUGAGAAUUUUGGCACUGUUCAGUUCUUUAGCGUGCUAAGUAAACUUGAUGUGUUAGAACAAGUACAGACACAUCAGCCCUUCUGAGUGGUAUGUCUUAACAUACAGACUGGGCUCAUGGGUCAGGACUGCCUUUAUCCAAGGGUGAGAAUUCAGCACUUCAGAACAUCUCCCGUUUCUCCUAGAAAACAUGAAUUACACCAAUGGCUUCCCCUGCUCCUCGAAAGUUCAGACCGACUUCAUUGGCCACGGCACCUCCUCUACCUGGAACACUCCAGCCAGCAUGCCUGCUGCCUGGGGGCACGCCAGUCUCGUCAACUCUCCAUCCUACCUCACAAGCACCCGAAGUCUGUCUCCCAUGUCUGGACUGUU
rnacentral:lncRNA from 1 species